GCCUCGAUGGCAGAGUGGUCUGCAUCUGCAUCAACUUAUGUAUUCCUCGUACGAUUAUGCAGAAGUCGUUGGUUUGACUCCAACUCGGGGCA